rnacentral:tRNA from 2 species
CGGGGUGUGGCUCAGUUUGGUAGAGCGCUUGGUUCGGGACCAAGAGGUCGUGUGUUCAAAUCACAUCACUCCGACCA